AGGCAUCGGUUCUACAAUGUUAAAAAUGGAAGUGCCGCACUGAAUUGAAACCUCUUAGGUUUUCAAUAACACUAGGCUUGAAAAACUUGGGCUUUCAAAAGAAUUUAGUUGUUUUCCUUCUUCUUCUUCACGUCUAGUGUCGCAACUCACAGGCGAUGGCAAUUUUCCCCGUGAGUAAAGGUCUUCGCAAGGAUUUGACCUUAAUGGGUCAAGUAUGAAUGAUAAAAAAAAAAUAAAAAAAAAGGAGUAUAAGGACAGGUUCAAGGGAAUUUUC
rnacentral:lncRNA from 1 species